rnacentral:tRNA from 1 species
GCAUUGGUGGUUCAAUGGUAGCAUUUCUGCUUGCCAUACAGGAGACCUGGGUUCGGUUCCCAACCAGUGUA